rnacentral:rRNA from 1 species
AGAGAUCAUGGCUCAGAAUCAACGCUGGCGGCGUGCCUAACACAUGCAAGUCGAACGCGAAAGUCCCGCAAGGGAUGAGUAGAGUGGCAAACGGGUGAGUAACGCGUGGGUGACCUGCCUUCGAGCGGGGGAUAACGUUCCGAAAGGGACGCUAAUACCGCAUAACAUCCUGCCUUUGAAGAGGCGGUGAUCAAAGCUGGGGAUCGCAAGACCUAGCACUUGAAGAGGGGCCCGCGUCCGAUUAGCUAGUUGGUGGGGUAAUGGCUCACCAAGGCAACGAUCGGUAGCCGGCCUGAGAGGGCGGACGGCCACACUGGGACUGAGACACGGCCCAGACUCCUACGGGAGGCAGCAGUGGGGAAUUGUUCGCAAUGGGCGCAAGCCUGACGACGCAACGCCGCGUGGAGGAUGAAGAUCUUCGGGUCGUAAACUCCUUUCGAUCGAGACGAAUUCCUCCGGGGUGAACAAUCCCGGAGGUUGACGGUACCGAGAGAAGAAGCCCCGGCUAACUCCGUGCCAGCAGCCGCGGUAAUACGGGGGGGGCAAGCGUUGUUCGGAAUUACUGGGCGUAAAGGGCUCGUAGGUGGCCAACUAAGUCGGACGUGAAAUCCCUCGGCUUAACCGGGGAACUGCGUCCGAUACUGGUUGGCUUGAGUUUGGGAGAGGGAUGCGGAAUUCCAGGUGCAGCGGUGAAAUGCGUAGAUAUCCGGAGGAACACCGGUGGCGAAGGCGGCUU